rnacentral:rRNA from 1 species
UCCGUAGGUGAACCUGCGGAAGGAUCAUUAAAGAGUAAGGGUCUAACCGGCCCGAACCUCCAACCCUUUGUCGUUAUAACACCAUGUUGCUUUGGCGGGACCGCCGCGCUCCCCUUCACGGGGGGGACGGCUACCGGUCUUCGGCUCGGUAAGCGCCCGCCAGAGGUAAAAAAACAAACUCUUGCAUUUAACAGGUCGUCUGAGUUGAUCUUUAAUUAAAUCAAAACUUUCAACAACGGAUCUCUUGGUUCUGGCAUCGAUGAAGAACGCAGCGAAAUGCGAUAAGUAAUGUGAAUUGCAGAAUUCAGUGAAUCAUCGAAUCUUUGAACGCACAUUGCGCCCUCCGGUAUUCCGGGGGGCAUGCCUGUUCGAGCGUCAUUUCACCACUCAAGCAAUGCUUGGUAUUAGGCACUCGUCCGUCCCUCGCGGCGGGCGGGCCUCAAAACCUUCGGCGAAGUCACACCGGCUUUGGGCGCAGUAGAAUCAUCUUAAACGCUCUGUGAGUCCGGUCGAGUCUUUUGCCGCGAAAGAUUCUCACGAAUCAUCUUUUUCAAAGGUUGACCUCGGAUCAGGUAGGGAUACCCGCUGAACUUAAGCAUAUCAAUAAGCGGAGGA